rfam:Oryza brachyantha chromosome 7, whole genome shotgun sequence.
CCUCUAGAUGAGGAAGAUUUUAUUGCUUAUAUCCUAAAUGGUCUAGAUGGAGAAUUUGAUUCGGUAGUUUCUGCUAUUGGUAUAUAAACUGAACCAAUCUCUGUAAUGGAAGUAUAUUCCUAAGUUCUCAAUUUUGAGA